UACGGAGGAUGCAAGCGUUAUCCGGAUUCAUUGGGUUUAAAGGGUACGUAGGUGGCUGAUUAAGUCAGUGGUGAAAACCUGCCGCUUAACGGUAGGCGUGCCAUUGAUACUGAUUGGCUUGAGUCCAGUUGAGGUAGGCGGAAUGUGUAGUGUAGCGGUGAAAUGCUUAGAUAUUACACAGAACUCCGAUUGCGAAGGCAGCUUACUAAACUGACACUGACACUGAGGUACGAAAGCGUGGGUAGCGAACAGG
rnacentral:rRNA from 1 species